CCUACGGGAGGCAGCAGUAGGGAAUAUUGCUCAAUGGGGGAAACCCUGAAGCAGCAACGCCGCGUGGAGGAUGAAGGUUUUCGGAUUGUAAACUCCUUUUGUUAGAGAAGAUAAUGACGGUAUCUAACGAAUAAGCACCGGCUAACUCCGUGCCAGCAGCCGCGGUAAUACGGAGGGUGGAAGCGUUACUCGGAAUCACUGGGCGUAAAGAGCGCGUCGGCGGGAUAGCAAGUCAGAUGUGAAAUCCUAUGGCUUAACCAUAGAACUGCAUUUGAAACUGGUAUUCUAGAGUAUGGGAGAGGUAGGUGGAAUUCUUGGUGUAGGGGUAAAAUGCGUAGAGAUCAAGAGGAAUACUCAUUGCGAAGGCGACCUGCUAGAACAUAACUGACGCUGAUGCGCGAAAGCGUGGGGAGCAAACAGGAUUAGAUACCCGUGUAGUC
rnacentral:rRNA from 1 species